GUGGGGAAUCUUCCGCAAUGGGCGAAAGCCUGACGGAGCAAUGCCGCGUGAGUGAUGAAGGAAUUCGUUCCGUAAAGCUCUUUUGUUUAUGACGAAUGUGCAGACUGUGAAUAAUGGUUUGUAAUGACGGUAGUAAACGAAUAAGCCACGGCUAACUACGUGCCAGCAGCCGCGGUAAUACGUAGGUGGCGAGCGUUGUCCGGAAUUAUUGGGCGUAAAGAGCAUGUAGGCGGUUUUUUAAGUCCGGAGUGAAAAUGCGGGGCUCAACCCCGUAUGGCUCUGGAUACUGGAAGACUUGAGUGCAGGAGAGGAAAGGGGAAUUCCCAGUGUAGCGGUGAAAUGCGUAGAUAUUGGGAGGAACACCAGUGGCGAAGGCGCCUUUCUGGACUGUGUCUGACGCUGAGAUGCGAAAGCCAGGGUAGCGAACGGGAUUAGAAACCCUAGUAGUCC
rnacentral:rRNA from 1 species